GUGGGGAAUCUUAGACAAUGGGGGAAACCCUGAUCUAGCCAUGCCGCGUGAGCGAUGAAGGCCUUAGGGUUGUAAAGCUCUUUCAGCUGGGAAGAUAAUGACUGUACCAGCAGAAGAAGCCCCGGCUAACUCCGUGCCAGCAGCCGCGGUAAUACGGAGGGGGCUAGCGUUGUUCGGAAUUACUGGGCGUAAAGCGCACGUAGGCGGACCGGAAAGUCAGAGGUGAAAUCACAGGGCUCAACCUUGGAACUGCCUUUGAAACUCCUGGUCUUGAGGUCGAGAGAGGUGAGUGGAAUUCCGAGGGUAGAGGUGAAAUUCGUAGAUAUUCGGAGGAACACCAGUGGCGAAGGCGGCUCACUGGCUCGAUACUGACGCUGAGGUGCGAAAGCGUGGGGAGCAAACAGGAUUAGAAACCCCGGUAGUCC
rnacentral:rRNA from 1 species